AUUGAACGCUGGCGGCAGGCCUAACACAUGCAAGUCGAACGAGUGGCGGACGGGUGAGUAAUGUCUGGGAAACUGCCUGAUGGAGGGGGAUAACUACUGGAAACGGUAGCUAAUACCGCAUACCAUCGGAUGUGCCCACAUGGGAUUAGCUAGUAGGUGGGGUAAAGGCUCACCUAGGCGACGAUCCCUAGCUGGUCUGAGAGGAUGACCAGCCAAACGGGAACUGAGACAAGGUCCAGACUCCUACGGGAGGCAGCAGUGGGGAAUAUUGCACAAGGGGCGCAAGCCCUAUGCAGACAGUCCGGGUGUAUGAAGAAGGCCUUCGGGUUGUAAAGUACUUUCAGCGGGGAGGAGUUACCCGCAGAAGAAGGACCGGCUAACUCCGUGCCAGCAGCCGCGGUAAUUC
rnacentral:rRNA from 1 species